GAAAUGCGAUACUUGGUGUGAAUUGCAGAAUCCCGUGAACCAUCGAGUCUUUGAACGCAAGUUGCGCCCGAAGCCAUUAGGCCGAGGGCACGCCUGCCUGGGUGUCACACAUCGUUUCCCCAACGUGUCGUCUUUUGACGGCGCUUCGACCGCGACCCCAGGUCAGGCGGGACUACCCGCUGAGUUUAA
rnacentral:misc_RNA from 1 species